ensembl:lincRNA
AAUUCCAUUCACAUUAAUUUUAAUGUGUGUGUACAUAUGUCACCCAGUCUUUUUUCCCCUUGGGUGAUUUUCAAAACUCUGCCAUAAAAACAAACAAAAACAAGGAAGGACAAGCCCAAACAGGUUGAGAAUCACCGGGGUACUGAUGAAAUUAGGCUUCCUUAUUGGCACUCUGAAUGCCUCCUGCUUCAGGAUACAUUUGUUUUCCCUCUUUCUCUUUCGUUUCUGCUGCCUGUGGAAAUGAAGAAUAUGUUAUCUCCUUGGAUACCUGAAGACGAUUGCGCCACUUCUCUGCCUUUUCUUCCUUACGUACAAUAAUCCACUUCAUCUUUCCUCCGAGGGCUAGUUUUCACCUCGCUGAUCAACAUCGGGAAAGCUCCGCUGAGCCAUGCAAAUCUCCUGGCAGAUAAUGGUCUUUAGCUAUUUGGCCGUUCUGUGUGCACUGGCCCUAUACCAUUUUUCCUUCUUGUCACUGCUCUUUUUCUUUCCUGUGAUCCUUUUCCUCAGUGUCUGCUUAAUUUCUUCCCAAGUAGUCUGAGAUAUUUGAAAGGCAUCAUAAAAGUCCUCAGCAGACAUCUUGCUCGUAUCUGGGAUUGUGCUUCAUCCUGGGAAAGCCUUACAGGGAGAUGGUGCUGCCUAAAGAGUGAUGAGUGAGUGGAGGAAGAAAGAGAAAGAAAAUACCAUGGAGAAAGAGAAGGACUCAGGAAAAAUAAAGAUUAAAAACAGAAAGAAAAAGCCAGAUACUCAGAAGAGAUUAGAGUUUUCAUCUGUAUUCAUCACAGACCGACACAAGCUGGAGGAGCCACACCUUGAGACAGUACAGACAUGGAUGUGUACUGCGUGUUUCUCCUCCUUGGGAUCCAGAAGCCUGAUGCUCUGCAGGGACCAGCCAUGGAGAGGCUGAGCACCCUCGAGGAUAUCCGACCUCAGAUCUGAGAGCAACGGCGAGGAGGGCUGUAGCUGCAACUCCCUCACAAGCAGCCUUGCAGCAGUGACUGCUGUGCCGUGCCUUGUCUUUCUUCUCACAGCGUUCUGUGGGGGUAAAGUCCCUGCUCACUUCUAGCCUUACCACUGCUAUAUGCCUUAGUAUGAACUAAGCUAAGUCAUCAAAUGUCAUCAGUGUCACUCUGAGAUGGAUUCUUUACAAGAAUCCUUAAAUCCUUAAAGUGACAAACAGGACUGAUUUCCUGUCCACUGCCUGCAAGUGUAUGCACUUUCUCCUUAAAUCUUUCCUUCCCUCUCCCUUUUGCUUCCUACAAUGCAUGCUGUAAGAGAAAGAUGCUUCCUUGCAAACGUUCCAUAUUUACGUGGUGUGGUUAGGCAAGAUGAUGAGACCCGAGUCCUCGUCAGCCUUCAUUUUCCUUCUCGUGCUAAUCUGAUGUGACAGAAUUCUGCAGGUUUGUCAGCUCUUCAACUGUACUUCAGUCUCUAUUUUGUGAGAAUUAUGUACAGAGGCGAAUGCAUCUAGAUGUCAUCUAGAAGUGUAAAACAAAUGAUAUAAAAAUGUUUAUCACUGAGCAGUAAUUUGAAUACCUUUCCAACAACAACAGCAACAAUAACCACAACAACAACCCCUUAAAACAAGGAAAGCCGAUCGGUUGUCUCAGGGAAAUUUAAAAUAAAAGGCACUUCUCAUCUGUAAAAAAUGGAACUCAGGAUGUUGUUGAACUCAGUGCAUUGCACAUUCAGUAUUCAUAGGGUAGAACAUAAAAGAAAUAAUGUGGGGUUUUUAUAAAGAUAUUUUUUUACUGCAUGCUGCUUCUAUCAAACCACCUGAGAGGUGAUUCGAGAAGGGCACUGUAGAAUAAAGACAUUGUUCUGACAGCAAAUACAAAUGAAAUAAAAUUGGCCCAAGGCUUUGAUGCCAGAACUCACAUGGUGAGCUGAGACAUAGCAACACGCUAGCUUAAUGCACUAGAGAAACAGAAGAGCAGCAUAAUUUGUAACAGAGUAUGAGGCAAAGAUGAAAGCAGAAAAUAAUACAAAAAAAGCAAGAAAUAAAAAUACACAGAGAUUAAAACACAUUUUUUUAGGUUGCAUUAAUUCCUGUAUCACAAGAACUUACCUAACCACACAAGAGUGUUGGAGUUCAGCUAUAAUCUUUUUGUCCCUAUCGUCAAGGGAAGAUUCCUAAGAGGGGAAGGAAGAGCUGUGUUGCUCUGAUUUUAAAGAGAGAAGAGAGGGUGCAGGUCUUUUUCCUUCUGGGCAAUGAUGAGAUUCCUUCUGGCAUCCAGUGUAGGACAUAACCAUAAAAUGAAUCCCAGACAUACUGUAAGUAGCCAAUAUUAAUUUUACCCACUUGUAUAGUUUUGCCCUAUGAAUGAGGAAGGUGCUUAAAAUUAUUUCUAGUCCUUUAGGCCUAAAAUGAGUAAGGAAAAAAUCAAAACAAGAAAAAGAACAAAGUUGUCAUAGACGUCCCACAGGAGCCUGUGUUCAUGAGGUAUUUUUGACAGGCUGGUGUGCGAGUGGCCUAAGAAGCAGAAACUCAGUCAUUUACCCAGCCUUAAAGAUGGCUACUUGCUCAUUCUUUCCUGGCCAAUCACAAAACACUGAGGCAGAGACCUACAGAGAAGAUUCUGAGUGCCCUGCUGCAUUAAUAGCAAAGAAUGUACAGUGUGGCGGAGAUGACAUGACCAGAUUAGGUGUGUAAGACAAAAUAUGUUGAUAGCUGAUAAUUGUUCCUGUAGCCUGCUAAUUGUUUCUCUCUCAGUUGAAAAGCUGAAACAAUUCUGGAUGAUUUUAGAAAAGACCCUACCUGAAUUCUUCUUCUGCUCUUUAAAUGUUCUCUAAAUGAACAAACAAAUAAAGGCAAUGGAAAAGUGCACUAGAGUCACCUCUUAAAUAAUUAAAUUCAUAAUUUUGUUUGAUAAAUGAUUUAGCCUGAAAGAGAGACCACUUCAGGCAUGU